rnacentral:rRNA from 1 species
ACGAACGCUGGCGGCGCGCCUAACACAUGCAAGUCGAACGGAGCAUUUAAGCUUGCUUAGAUGCUUAGUGGCGAACGGGUGAGUAACGCGUGAGCAAUCUGCCUCAGAGUGGGGGACAACAGUUGGAAACGACUGCUAAUACCGCAUAAGCCCACAGAACCGCAUGGUUCAGCGGAAAAAGAUUUAUCGCUUUGAGAUGAGCUCGCGUCUGAUUAGCUAGUUGGUGAGGUAACGGCCCACCAAGGCGACGAUCAGUAGCCGGACUGAGAGGUUGAACGGCCACAUUGGGACUGAGACACGGCCCAGACUCCUACGGGAGGCAGCAGUGGGGAAUAUUGCACAAUGGGGGAAACCCUGAUGCAGCGACGCCGCGUGGAGGAAGAAGGUCUUCGGAUUGUAAACUCCUGUUGUUAGGGACGAUAAUGACGGUACCUAACAAGGAAGUGACGGCUAACUACGUGCCAGCAGCCGCAGUAACAC